GUAUGCCUUUGUGUAGAAGGUGUUCAGUGCCAAUGACAUGCCCGUUCGCCAGUGUGUGGAUGGUGUUCAGCACCAGGGACAGGUCCGUAUGCCU
rfam:Branchiostoma floridae genomic scaffold BRAFLscaffold_176, whole genome shotgun sequence.